AAACUUUUUAUCCAUCCACAUGUAUAUAUAUAAUUUUACAUUAUUUAUAUUUACAUUUGUAUCAGUUUUCUCUUACAUUUGGUUUCAAUUAAUUUCAUAUUGCUCAUACCGUUACAAUAAUAUAUAUCACCAUAAAUCUGGUUAUUGCCAUUAAAAUCUAGAUUUUGUGAAGAUGUAUUAUGUGCAGAAAGCUAUGAAAGACCAGAAGAGGGCGAUAUACACUCAACAUUGACAUUUAAUGAUGUUCAUUCUUCUUUAAGGAGUUAAGUUAUUAUGAGUUGCAUUAAAGUUUUAAUUAUUUCAUCAAAUUAAACUAAACUGCAGCUGUAAUGAAUGAGGACUCUAAUGUACUGUACAGGUGAAACCCAAUCAGGGUUUUAUUGCAAUAACCAGCAGGAAGCCAUAAACAUCCACCAUAAUGAAGAAAAUAAUCCUAAUGAUUAGAUGAGCUCUGAUAGUCUUACAGCACAGCAUUAUAGUAUGGUUAUGGUAUAUUAUGGUUUCAUAUGUUUUCAGUGUUCAUGAACUGAUGUAAUUUUAAUGCUGUUCUCAUCCUCUUACACUGACAGAUAGGAGGAGCCUGUGGAGAUCUGAUAUAGAGCAAACUGAACUCUUUUUCUUCCUACAGUGCAAACAUGACGAUCCUUUGUGUUCUGCUUCUGCUAUUGUUGAUGAAAAGGGAGACAUUUGCACAGUCAAUAACACCGCUGGAAAACAAGGUGCUUAAAUCUGCAGGAGACGAAGUCACUCUGUCCUGUAAAUAUAAUGGAUCUGUAAAUAACCUGCACUGGUAUCGUCAGUAUCCGGGAUCCAAACCAGAGUUCCUCGCAAUAAUUUAUCCACAUGGAGCCACAAGUAACCCUCUUCCUCCUCGUCUUUUACCUAAAGUGGAUAAAAACAACAAUCUUGUGAGCCUGGAGAUCUCCUCUGCUGAAGUAUCAGACUCUGCGCUGUACUACUGCGCACUGACGCCCACAGUGACAGGAAACUCAUCCUCACUGUACAAAAACAUCCUCAACAAUAAAUCUCCUCAUAAACUAAAGAUUCAGAAAAGGGCCAGUGCAUCACAAAACACUUAAAAUAUCAUACAGCAGUUCAGACAGUGGUGGUAUGAAGAAAGAAAAGUAGCAGUAAUGCAGCUAAACAUCUCAUGGAAAAAAGAAGUAAUAAAGAAAUGCAUCAAUAAAUGCAUAAAUUGAUAAACGGAUAUAAGA